AUACAAUACAUGGAGACACCCAAAAGAGGGCGCAUCAGAUACUAUGACGUAAAAAAAAAUGCUUGCUUGCGUGUCCAAUGCUAUCAAAUCAGGAAGUCACAAAGUAGAAAUAUCAUUCGCCGUUCUUUCGUCAAUAUGUCAAGAAGCGUCGCUUUUCUCGUUGUGGCCGUGCUUUUGUGUAUCAUUCUGCCAUCACGAGCAUCUGAUGUCCUGCAAUGCACAGGGGAGAGACUUAAUGAUGGACAGUUCUUCUUUAACAUUUCGUAUGAAGUUAAGGAGGACGUACAUGACUGCGAGACCCAAUGGCUUGUUGAUAGAAAAGUGAUAGGAUUUUCUGAAGUUGAUGGAAAUGUAGAAUUCGUGACCCCGAUUGUUAGGGCAACAGUGAACACGGUCCUCUUACAGACCUGCCCUGAAAAGUUUCAAUGCCUGCUCAUCUGCCCCAGUGGCAAUAUCAAGGAAACUAUGCAGUGCUCUUGUGACACCACCACAAAUUUCCUUUCUACACCACUUACUACCCAUUUUGAAGUGGGUUUUCGUGACUGGAGAAUUCGUGUUGGGAUUGCAGUGUUUGUGAUUCUGCUGGUGUUGGCAUCUGGCAUUGUGCUUUAUGUAAAAAGACAAAGGUCAAGAUAUGCUCUUUGUGGUACAGGUUCUGCUCAAGACCCUGUUUGAAUCUGGAGAAGUUCCAUCAUUGCACCUGGACACUUCAUCUUAAGUCAUUCAUAUUUAUAUUUCUAAAUAUGCACACAUUCACUUUUCACAUACCAGUCCUGUUAUAUAGCAUUAGCUCUAUUAUCUAUUAUAUUUAGCAUGUCAGGGUUUUAUAGCUUGUAGAAUUUAGUUUGCCUUUUUAAUUCAACUGAUCAUGACUAACCUAAAUGAAGUGAACCUAAAUGAACAUGCUGAAAUUAUAUUAUUUAGUUAUAUAUUAUAGAACUAUAUAUUUAUACAUAAAUACUACAUAUGACUUAUUUUGUGUCUGUUAUGCAAUCAGACACAUGUUCAGUAUGUGUAACUGUAUACGUGUGUAUGCAAGUAACUAUAUAUAAAUAACUCAAUUAUAUUGUAAAAUAUUAUAUUUAAAUUAUAGUAUAACUUAAUACAUGUAACAAUAUUAUUCAUAUUGUAAAUAUACUUAUUAAUGGUCCAGUCAGUUUGUGGGAAAGGAACAAAGCUGAUUGCAUGGCACUAUAGUGAGCAUAAGAGUAACUGCAUGACCUGGGCAAGUAUUUUGUAAAUUCCUGCUGUGGAAGCGAAAUGAAAUGCUGUGCCAGUGAGUACACAUAUCUAAUGCAGUACUAGUUAAAUCCCACUGCUUUAAACCUGGCCUCAGUUAUUAACAUACAUGUUACCAAUAAUAAUAAUAAUAAUGUAGUAAAUCCACAUUCAUUAAACCUACAUUAAAAGGGUGUGGGGGAGGGGGUCACAUGAUAAUGGUCCCUAUAUGUGCCAUGCUGUCUGCUGAUAAAGUACUUUCCUCCCUGUACUGUUGAUUGAUUUAUAUUGAUACAGUGUCCACUAUCACUUUGUGGCAAAUGUAACUGGCACUGCUAGAUUUGAUCAGAUUUGUAUCAAAGCAUUAUACAUUUCAUGAUAUGCAAUGAUAAUAUUUGUUUAACUGUUGAAUUUCACAGCAUCGCUAUACUCUGUAUUGACUUUUGUAUUUACCUUUUAAGCACUUAAAUCCCUGCUGUCUAGGUGCAAAAGCUUGUUGGGGGGAUUUCUGUCAAUAAAACAUUAUAAGUACAUUA